GGAGGGUAGGCUGGAGCAGGGGAAGUGGGGGCAAGGGGCAAGGGAGGGGGACACACAUCUGGUGGAUGCAAGAAAAAGGGGCUUGCUGGGGUGGGGACGGGAGGUGGGCACCCUCAAUUCCCUGAGUCCUCUAGCAGCACCGCGCUGGAGGGUGGGCUGGGACUGGAGUGGAGUUUGAAUUCAUUGUUAUUUUGACCUUGUGGUCAAGGCUGUUCUGUUUGUUAAACGAAUGUGAACAAUCCCCCUGGCUGGGCUCCUGAACUUGGACUCAGGCAGGGAGGCCGCCCACACAUGCACACCCACCAGGCCUGGGGCUGGGCCUGGCUAUGUCCUUGGCCCCUCCAGCUCUCCUAGCAUCCAGGUGGGGAGCUGGUGGUAGAAACGGCCCCCAGGAGCGAUUCUGGCCAGUGACCUUGGGUGCCCUGGCUGUGGACUCGAGUUCUGCCUGUUCCCUGAUGCACUCAUGUUCUCAGGGAGCCCAGCCUCCCUUCCCCACUCAAGGCCCUGACCUGCUGGAACCUCUGCUGAGUGGGCCUUCACCUCAACUAGGAGCUGAGCACUGGGGGAGAGAGUUCAGGAGUUCAAAGCCCCAGGGAUCUGGUGCCUGUGGACAGGGGAAUGUUGUUCUGGAAGGCGAGAGAAGCCCAGCCUUUGUUCUCAUCCCACAGAAACAGUCCUGGAUUCACUGCAAGAUUGGCAUCCGCCUAUGCCAAUUUGUAAAUACUUUUGGAAAUGCCCUUUGCCCAGGAGGCACUUGGCGAAACCUCUUGCUUACUGUGUGGCCAGCCAGCCGUAGGAGAGGUUGAAGGUGAGCAGAGCUGGGAAGGCAGUGAGUGACCCCGGGGAGAGGUGACGAGGAGGCCCCAGCAGGAAGGGCGGUUCGAGGUCUUUCCUGGACGGUGCACGAGACGAACCCGUUCCCCACCUGCUCGUCCCACUCUAGCUCGGGCCUUGCCAAGCUUCUGGGUGAGGCCGUGUGCUCUGGCACAACCCGUGUUUCCCUUUCCAAACCUUAAGCCCGGUGCUGUUCCCACAGCCCAGCUCGGCAGGCUUGUGCUGCGGAACCAGAGGAGGCAGCCUGAUUGGCCGGGCAGGCACGGUGCUGCGGGGCCCCUGGCCUGACCACCCAACAGGUCAGAGCCGUUAAAGCAGGGCAGGACCCGAGAGGGGGGACUGAGAUGCACGAUCGCUCACCCAUCCCCGCAAGGCUGAGGAUCUGCACAAACCUGCUGUCGGUGACGUUUUUCUUGAGAACAUUGGAGAAAUCUGAAUGUUGAAUGAGUGUUACAAAAGGUGAAACUUGACUGACAUGGAAAGCUGGAUUGUUAACUGAAAAAAGUUUAAAAAUGCAUAUAUGGUGUGAUCUCAUUUUGGACAAAAUAAUAAUGAAUAUGUACCAUAGGUGUUAAUAGUGAUAUUGAUUGGGUGCUAAAAAUCUUUUCCCCUUAUUUUUUCUUAUUUUUGUGGCUCUAUGUUUUCUCACACUUAAGUUUUUUUGGUCAUUGUCUUCAACUGCUACAAUGAACAUAUACCUCUUUUAUUAUGUUAAAAGGUUGUUUUUAACUAAAAAACAUUUGUUAAAAAUUGCUCCUCUGCAAGAGAACAGCCUGAGUCGUGGUUGGAGCCAUGGUCCUAUGGGACAGGAAGAACUAACCUCUCUGCUCCUUUGCUCCCAGCCACAGCUUAGAACUCAAACUCCACCUGAGUUUGACCCGUGCUGAGUUGCUUCAGUUGUGUUCAACUCUUUGUGACCCUAUGCACUGUAGCCCACCAGGUUCCGCUGUCCAUGGGAUUUCCCAGGCAAGAAUACUGCGGUAGGUUGCCAUUUCCUCCUCCAGGGGAUGUUCCUGAUCCAGGAAUUGAACCUACAUCCCUUAUGUCUCCUGCAUUGGCAGGCAGUUUCUUUACCACUAGCGCAAUCUGGGAAGCCCUGAGUUUGGCACAAGGUCCAGAUAGAGCUAAUUAUUGCAGAGCAAAAAACAGACUUGACUCUAAGAUGAUGAGUGAUUAGUGAGUGAUUAAAAAAAAAAAGAUAACUCAGCCUGGCCUCCUCAACCAGCCCAGGCCAGGCUUGCCCCAAACUUCUCUUUGUAUGAAAAUCCAACUCCAUGUUAAUAGUGGGUUGGGGAAAUAAAAAAGCAGAAUUUGAAGGAUAAAGUUGCUAA
ensembl:lncRNA